rnacentral:lncRNA from 1 species
AGAAUCUCUGAGAAUCGCAGAAAAAAAAUGAUGAAUUUGGUGACUUUUUGAUGAUUCUGGAAUUCUAGGGUUUUUGAUUGUUCUUGGUGAUUCUGGAUUUUUGAUUGUUCUUGGUGAUUCUGGAUUUUGAUCCUAACAGAAAGGAGAGAGAAACUUCUCACGUGUUUGUGAGUUGGCACUGAUUGAAUGGGUCUGUGUGGCACUGUGCACCUUUUAUAGGCUGCCAUGUGUAUUCCUGGACCAAUGGGGUAAUGCCACCUGGAAUUGGACUUGGG